rnacentral:ncRNA from 1 species
GGGCCAUUUUUGGUAAGCAGAACUGGCGCUGUGGGAUGAACCAAACGUGGAGUUAAGGUGCCUAACUUCUCGCUUAUGAGACCCCAUAAAAGGUGUUGGUUGAUAUUGACAGCAGGACGGUGGCCAUGGAAGUCGGUACCCGCUAAGGAGUGUGUAACAACUCACCUGCCGAAUCAACUAGCCCUGAAAAUGGAUGGCGCUUAAGCGAGAGACCUAUACUCCGCCGUCGCGGCAUGUGCGUUGUCUAGCGCCAGGUCGCGACGAGUAGGAAGGACGUGGCGGUUGCGUUGAAGGCUAUGAGCGUAGGCUCGGCUGGAGCUUCCGUCAGUGCAGAUCGUAAUGGUAGUAGCAAAUAUUCAAGUUCGAUCCUUGAAGACUGAAGUGGAGAAGGGUUCCACGUGAACAGUAGUUGGAUGUGGGUCAGUCGAUCCUAAGGUACUGGCGAAAGCCUUGUAUCAUCGGUGGCGAAAAGCUUGCUUUUUGUCCCCGCCCGUCGAAAGGGAAUAGGGUUAAUAUUCCCUAACUGAGAUGCAAAGAUUGUGUUCUUCGGAGCACAAGCGCGGUAACGCGUUCGAACUUGGUAAGUCGCUCAGAGACCGAGCUAGAGUUUUCUUCUCUAGUUAAGGAACGGACUCCCUGGAAUUGGUUCAGCCAGAGAUGGGGAUGUUGUUUCCGAAAAGCACCGCGGUUUCUGUGGUGUCUCGUGCUCUCUGAACGGCCCUUUAAACACCAAGGGAGGCUAUUAAUUUGCACUCAAUCGUACCGAUAUCCGCAUUAGGUCUCCAAGGUGAACAGCCUCUAGUCGAUAGAAUAAUGUAGGUAAGGGAAGUCGGCAAACUAGAUCCGUAACUUCGGGAAAAGGAUUGGCUCCAGUGGUCGGAACGGUUGGCCAGUUGGUUGAUGCUUGUCCGGCGCUGUUCUGUCUGCUUGAUGCUUUCGGGCUGAUGGCGGCCUAGUGAUAGUGCUUGCUUGUUGACGCUUUCUGGUGUGUGCUUUGACCUCGGUCUUAGUAUCCUGAUCGUUCAUCUAAACGACUAAACUGGAACCGGUACGGACUCAGGGAAUCCGACUGUCUAAUUAAAACAGAGGUGACAGAUGGUCCUUGCGGACGCUGACUGUCACUGAUUUCUGCCCAGUGCUCUGAAUGUUAAAUCGUA